ACAGAUUCAUCAUAAACAAUGUGGUGUUUAUCCACCUACCUGACAUCUGUCCACCACCUCAAAACACAGACACAGCAGAGAGACGCAGCAGCUAGAGUGAAACACAGGGAGUGGACUUCUGUUUCCCCUCUUCCUUGACUCAGAAAACGAAACUGACGUUUUACCAGAAAACGCUUUGUGAAACCGAAAUUUACCGUUAUAGUGGUGCUGCAAGAGCCUGCGAGCUCAAACAUCAACGAAGCGCUGAGAACAACAUUUGCUGAAAUCAAAAAAGCUAGCUUUCAUUUGACCACUGGACAAAGAUCUAGGACGUGUGGAUCUUCGGGGUGAGCUUGGCCUGCUAUAGAAAUCUCUCCACCUUCUCAAUGGACACUUCAUUAUGUUAUCUCUCUUUAAAACCUGACACGGAAAGCAUAAUGUCUGUGAUGCGUGAACUUAAGGAAAAGAACUUUUCAGACAACACCCUUCUCUCCAACUUGGACUUUGCUGAGAGAUUCCUUCGAAAACAUCCUCUACAACAGAACUCAAAGUUGUUGGUUAAAGGAAACUACUCUUGUGUACAAAUUGGUGCGAGUAAACAGGUGAUUUUUACUGUAACAUCAGAAAAUAUGCAAGUCUUGGUGAAUGUCUGUAUCCACGACUUAUAUAGUGAAAAAGUCUCAAAGUAUUCCAUUGAUGCCUGUCACUUUUUCAACCACUCUUGCCAAGAUGAGUUUAAAUCCUGUUUUACACAGGCUCAAGAAGCUGUUCCUAAAGAGGGUCUGACAAGACUAGACAUUAUAUGCAACAGGUUCUCAGUCACCUACAGCACCAAAUGUCAUGGUCCAGGCCCAACUGUGGAAACAAAGUGUCAGUUAAAGCUUGACAACAUCACUGCUGAGAGUUUGCUGAGCAAAAAAGUCUGGCUGCAGAAAGAGAAGCCCACAUGUCAUGGUUUGAUAGCAUGUCUAGACUUUCUCAUAAAGCAAUACCUUACCAGAAGCAGUGCUCUAAAGUUCUGCUACAGAUUUGUCAUACAUGCAGACAGCGAAAUAAUCAAAAUCACUUCAGGUGAAAAUGUUACCAGAGAGUAUGUUUUGCUACAUGAUCAUCAGAAGGUCUCAAUGUACCCUUCAACAUUGCAUUAGAAGCUAUGAUAGCACUCCAGAAUACUCCAACAUAUUCUGUUUAAAAUAAAAAUAUAAUCACAGACCUGAUUAAAUGAAUUCAUUAUCCACAUAAUCACAAAUCUUUAUGAUUAAACGUUUAAAAUAUUAACCCUCAAAUAACAAUGCCAUUACCUCUUGAGUCAAUAUAUGCAAUGCAUAUCUUUUGUUUUGUGCUUUUUUUUAUUGGAGACAAGGACAUUUUUUAGUAGAUUUACAUUUGCAUGCUUUCCUACGUCAUCUGUGUUUGCUGACAAAAAAAAAUGUAGUAGAUUCUAUUAUUCUGUACUCAGAUUAUUGUUUAUAAUCUUUAAUAUCAUUAUAGACAAUAUGUAAAUAAACAGCUUGAUUCUU